rnacentral:lncRNA from 1 species
ACUACUUACAUGAAACUAAUAUUGCCAGAAGGAAUUGGAUGAAGGCUGCAACGAACGGAAGAAGUAUAGAUGCAUCACUGAAGUGCUCAACGAAGUUCUAUAUCACGAUUAAUUGAUCAACAAGAAUGUGAAUCCUGAAUCAUUGUUGCAAUACAAAAGCAGCUCAAGAUCUUCUGCAAUAAAAUUCAAAGAACUAUGGGGAGUAUAAAAGAGAAAGGGUAGAAGAAAUGGACUCUGCUCUCCUCUUGCUAUGGCUAAAGCAUAUCACAAGCUCAAAGUCCUAAAUUCAUAUUCAUCUCAACUAUUAAAGCAAUUAGAAAACAUCCUGCAUAAUCUCCGAGAUUAGGAAUCAUUAUUAGGUGAUAAAGAACUACGAGGGAACCAAGUAAACUUGGUGAUCAACUUCUGACUAGACGUGAUAUAUAAUUUUGAAAAAAGCAUGGGAUGGAUUUUCUGAAACUAUGGACAGAGUUUGGAGUAGGACAUUAAUCCAACUCAUAGAAACUCAUGAUAGAAUGAUGUUGGCCGUGAAUCAUGAAAUAAAGGUCAAGGACCAUGAUUCCUGCAUUUCACUCAAAAAUAUCGUUGAGAUAGUACCAUAAACAUCUAAAAUACCCAGAAAACCUUAUAGAAGUAAUGGAUGAUCAGGACAAAAUUUCUUGCUUAUAGCCAAUAUAGUUCAAGACCGGGACAUACUUCUUGAAUAUCUAAUUCUUAACAGAUUAAGAUAUCUUGUCUCACUAACCAAAGAGCUCCAAAUAAAACCACCCAAGUUAUCACAUACAACCAAAGAACAAUCCAAUUGAAUCACAUCAUGCUAAUAAACAUUAAUCCAAGCGACAGGACUUAAAUUCAACUGCAGUGGAGAGGCACAUCGCACGCAAAGAAAGCUCGUUCUACCAUUCAAAUUGAGAAAAUAGCUUCUUUUUUUGAGAUAAGUGAGAAAUAACAUCCUGAAAAUAAAGACAUUGUUGGCAACAAGUACUAAAGAUGAAAAUGAAAACAAAUGUACUCCACGUGGUCAAGAACAAUUGUUUGCAUCUAACCAAAUUGUAUGAGUGAACCCAGUGGGAAAUUUACUAUACAAUUAGUAUGAGUUAAAACCAAUGUGACAUUUUUUAUAACAAAUUCAAUAAACAGACUUAGACAAAAUCCUGUGUGUAUUACUUAAGCUUCAAGCUUUGUGCAACCAGUACAUAGUGUUUCUAUCUAUCAAAGUUAUUUAGGCAGUACAAAAUCGAUAAUUGUGAUACUAUUAUCCUGAUACCUAUAUGAAUAUCAGAUCCAAAAAUGGUGCUAAGCAAACCGUUUUAUUUGGGGGGGGGGGGGGGGGGGGGGGGUGUUNNNNNNNNNNNNNNNNNNNNNNNNNNNNNNNNNNNNNNNNNNNNNNNNNNNNNNNNNNNNNNNNGGGGGGGGGGGAGGGGCAGUUUCAUACUUUUGAACUUGAAAGACUCUUCCGGUAAUUUGUUCCAAUAAGAAUUUACUACCGGGUUAUCUAUCUUAGACUCUGCACAUGACUUAGUCCGUGUAGGUAGAGCAGAAAUUAGAAGUUCAAAGGCACCAAUGAAAAGUUGACCACUUAAAUACAAAAAUCCAACGGCAAUAACAACUACCCAGUAUAGUCCCACAAGUUGGGGUCCGGGGAGGGUAAUAUGUAGACGGGCCUUACCCCUACCCGAAAGGGCAGAGAGGUUGUUUCCAAUCGACCCUCGGCUUAGUGAAGGCAAGAAAAAAACAAAAAUAAAAACAAAAACAAAAGAGCACUAGUAACUCCAGCAGAAAUAGCAUAAAUAAUUAUUUAAACAUAAGAACCAUAAAUAAAAUUGCAUACAAUAAUAUCAGACAGUAACUAUCAUAAAGGAGACGCAAUCCAAUACACAAAUCAUCUAUGAAUAGCCCUGCCAAGCCUCACCCAACCCCGGGUGAGGAGUAUGAAAAACUCUAGGGGCCCCAAUCCUACAACUCUGAUACUAGACCUCCAGACUUUCCUAUCAAGGGUCAUGUCCUCGGAAACCCGCAUUCUAGCCAUGUCAUGCCUGAUCAUCUCUCCCCAAUACCUCUUAGGCCUCCCUCUGCCUCGUCGUACUCCGACCAUCGCCAGCCGCUCACAACUCCUCACCGGGGCAUCAGAACUUCUCCUCCGCACAUGCNNNN